rnacentral:lncRNA from 1 species
AGGGUGCGUUUGGUUCGAGUUAUCCUGGCAGGAUUACAGGCAAUCCUGCCAGGAUAACUGUGUUUGGUUAAUCCGCUAUGUAAUCUAAUCGUUAAUGUAGCAUUACAAAUCGAGCAGGAUUACAUCGAAAAUAUUAACGGGAGGGGGGUCGUGUAUCUUGCAUUACUGAAACCCGUUAAUACUACAUAUUAUGUAAGAUGACAAUUUCACCCUCCAACAACCCCAAAUCUAAUUAACAGUAUUAUUUUCAUCUCUCUCUCUCGCCUUCCCCCCUCUCUCUCGCACGCCGCUUUCUCUCGCUUCUCGCUCUCUCUCUCUCUCUCUCUUUCUCUCUCUCUCGCACGAACACCUAUCAUCUUCUAUUGCGUCAUCCUCCCAGGUAAUCAUCACGAUCUCCUUCCCUCCAUUCAUCAUUUCCGCAAAAAAAUAAUAUUCAAAUGACCACAACAAGGGCAAUUUUGGAAAAAACUAUACUUUUAUGUCAGGAUUACUAAAUUUUAUAAACUGAACCAAACGUAUUAAUGCUAUAAACACUGUAAUCUAGUAUUACAUUACUGCAUUAAACAAACGCACUAAUGCAGGAUCAGUAGUAAUCUCACGCCGAAAUCUAAGAAACCUAGAUAUGUCGAGAUACUUUGUAAUAUUAUAUAACUUGAACCAAACGGGCCCUAAGAUAUU